rnacentral:rRNA from 1 species
GAUGAACGCUGGCGGCGUGCCUAAUACAUGCAAGUCGAGCGAACAGACGAGGAGCUUGCUCCUCUGAUGUUAGCGGCGGACGGGUGAGUAACACGUGGAUAACCUACCUAUAAGACUGGGAUAACUUCGGGAAACCGGAGCUAAUACCGGAUAACAUGUUGAACCGCAUGGUUCAACAGUGAAAGACGGUCUUGCUGUCACUUAUAGAUGGAUCCGCGCCGCAUUAGCUAGUUGGUAAGGUAACGGCUUACCAAGGCAACGAUGCGUAGCCGACCUGAGAGGGGGACCGGCCCAACGGGAACGGGGACAGGGUCCAGACCCCAAGGGGGGGCAGCAGGGGGAAACUUUCCGAAAGGGGGGAAAGCCUGAGGGGGAAACGCCGGGGGGGUGAAGAAGGUUUUGGGUUGGUAAAACCUUUUUAUUGGGGAAAAAAAAAUGGGUAAGUAACUAUGCACGUCUGGAGGGUACCAAACAAGAAAGCCACGGCUAACUACGU